rnacentral:rRNA from 1 species
GAUGAACGCUGGCGGCGUGCCUAAUACAUGCAAGUCGAGCGAACAGACGAGGCGCUUGCUCCUCUGACGUUAGCGGCGGACGGGUGAGUCACACGUGGAUAACCUACCUAUAAGACUGGGAUCACUUCGGGAAAGCGGCGCUAAUACCGGAUGAUAUAUUGAACCGCAGGGUGCAAUAGUGAAAGACGGUUUUGCUGUCUCGUAUAGAUGCAUCCCGGCCGCAUUAGCUGGUUGGUAAGGUAACGGCCUAUGAAGGCGACGAUGCGUAGCCGAGCGGAGAGGCGGAUCGGCCACACGGGAAGUGAGACACGGUCCAGAGUACUACGGGAGGCAGCAGUAGGGAAUCUGCCGCAAUGGUCGAAAGCCUGACGGAGCAACGCCGCGUGUGAGAUGACGGUCCUGGGUGCGUAAAGCCCUGCUAUGGGUUAAGAACCACUGUCGACUUAGCCAUGCCGGUCGUGACGGUACCGAAUCAGAAAGCACCGGCUAACUACGUG